rnacentral:rRNA from 1 species
AUUGAACGCUGGCGGCAUGCUUUACACAUGCAAGUCGAACGGCAGCGCGGGCUUCGGCCUGGCGGCGAGUGGCGCACGGGUGUGUAAUGCAUCGGAACGUGCCCAGUAGUGGGGGAUAGCCCGGCGAAAGCCGGAUUAAUACCGCAUACGACCUGAGGGUGAAAGCGGGGGGCCGAAAGGCCUCGCGCUAUUGGAGCGGCCGGUGUCGGAUUAGCUGGUGGGUGGGGUAAAGGCUUACCAAGGCGAAGAUCCGUCGCGGGUCUGAGAGGACGACCAGCCAACAGGGGACUGAGAGAGGGACCAGAUUCCUACGGGAGGCGGCAGUGGGGGAUAUUGGACGAUGGGCGCAAGCUUGAUCCAGCAAUGCGGCGUGAAGGAAGAAGGCGUUCGGGUGGGAAAGGGCGUGUGUACGGAAGGAAACGGGUCGGGUUAAUACCCGGGGAGAAUGACGGUACGGGAAGAAUAAGCACCGGCUAACGACGUG